AACGCGAAGAACCUUACCAGGACUUGACAUGGGCAAGCCGCACGCAGAGAUGUGUGUUCCCGCAAGGGCUUGCCGCACAGGUGCUGCAUGGCUGUCGUCAGCUCGUGUCGUGAGAUGUUGGGUUAAGUCCCGCAACGAGCGCAACCCUCGCCUUCAGUUGCCAUCAGGUUUGGCUGGGCACUCUGAAGGAACUGCCGGUGACAAGCCGGAGGAAGGUGGGGAUGACGUCAAGUCCUCAUGGCCCUUAUGCCCUGGGCUACACACGUGUUACAAUCCACGGGACAGAGCGAUGCAAACUCGCGAGAGUGAGCGAACCGUCAAACCCGUGGUCAGUUCAGAUCGCAGGCUGCAACUCGCCUGCGUGAAGUCGGAAUCGCUAGUAACCGCCGAUCAGCACGCGGCGGUGAAUACGUUCCCGGGCCUUGUACACACCGCUAGUC
rnacentral:rRNA from 1 species